rnacentral:rRNA from 1 species
AUGGCGGAGCCGUCGGCCGCCCCGCCGGCGCCGACUGACGCGGAGAGGGAGGACGCCCUGGACCGGAUGCUCACGUGGCUGGCCCUCGCCGAGGACGCCCGCCUCGCGCCGCUGCUCGUCCGCGUGCUCCCCUACGCCAUCACUUCUUUCGCCUCCACCUCCACCUCCGUCCGCAAGCUCGCUAUGGAGAUUCUCAGCCACAUCAACAAACGGGUGAAGCACAGGCCUGAGAUUUCGCUGCCCAUGCUGGAUUUAUGGAAGAUCUAUACUGAAUCUGCUUCAACGUCAAUUGUUCGCAACUUCUGUAUUGUUUAUAUUGAGAUGGCGUUUGAACGCCUGCCAAGCGAGGAGAAGGGAAACAUUGCACCUGAUUUGUUAAUCAAUAUAUCAAAAGUUCCAGCUCAGCAUCAAGGAAUUAUCUUGAGACUUGUAUCAAAGGCUAUUGGUGAAUGCAACACACGUAAGGUGGAUGAUAGCAUUGCCUUAAAAUAUCGAUCCAUAAGUGGAUCUGAUGAUGGCUUAGUUUUUGCUGACUUCUGCUUUCACACAAUAUUGUAUCAAACACCAUCUCAAGGCAUUGGUUGCCCAGCAGGACUUUCAGUUGCCCAAGCAGAUCGUGUUACUGGAAAGCUACCACUGAAAGGUGAAACACUUGCAUCAAGAAAGCUAGGUAUCUUGAAUGUUCUUGAAGCUAUGCAGCUGGCAUCUGAGAUUGUCUACCCUAUUUAUUUAGCUGGUGCUUCAGAUAGUCAAGAAUCAGUUGCUAAGAGAGGAGACGAGUUGUUAAAGCGCAAAGCUUCAACUGCGAACUUAGAAGAUGCCAAGCUUAUCAAUAGAUUGUUCACACUAUUCAAUGGUACCGCAAGUGCAGAAAAUAUAGCUGCAGAACUGAAAGUCGCCCCAGCACCUAGUUCAUUGCGUGUUCGCCUAAUGAGUGUUUUCUGCCGGUCUAUUGCUGCAGCAAACGCAUUUCCAUACACACUUCAAUGCAUUUUUGGCUGCAUCUAUGGAAGUGGAACCACUUCAAGGCUGAAACAGCUAGGGAUGGAGUUCACUGUCUGGGUUUUUAAACAUGCAGUAAUGGACCAACUAAAGUUAAUUGGCCCAGUUAUCCUCAGUGGAAUAUUACGGUCCCUUGAUGGUUCAUCCAGUACAGAAGCAGAUUCCACUGCUAGAGAUGUCAAAAUAUUUGCAUACCAGGCCAUUGGUUUGCUCGCCUCUCGUAUGCCUAAUUUAUUCAGCAACAAAACAGAAAUUGCUAUGCGACUCUUUACUGCUUUGAGGUUGGAGGAUCAAUCACUCCGCCUCACAAUUCAGGAGGCAGCCACUUCCCUUGCUACAGCAUAUAAGGGUGCUUCAAUUGUAGUACUGAAGGAUCUUGAGGCGCUUCUUCUGGAAAAUUGUCAAGUGGAGCAAAUUGAGGUUCGAUUUUCUGCUGUAAGAUGGGCAACAACGUUAUACGACAUGCAGCACUGCCCAAGCCGGUAUAUUUGCAUGCUUGGAGCUUCAGAUGUAAAACUGGACAUAAGGGAAAUGGCUCUAACAGGUCUAAAUCUGUUAAAUGAUGAGAGGCAGUCACCUGCAAUGACUGUUGAUUUCAACUACCCCGAUAUUGUGGAGAUGCUAAAUUAUAUCUACAGCCAGCAGCCUAAGCUGCUGCAAUCUAACAAUCAGAGUGAUGGAAAGCUGCUAUUCUCAUCAAAAACAUUUCUUGCAAUGAUCAAGUUUCUGAUGAAGUGCUUUGAGGCAAGUGAUAUUCCAGAUCUUUCGCAAGAAGAUCCAUCUCAUUCCCCAGUAGCAAAAAUGUGUGUGGUCUUAGAACAUGCCAUGUCGUACGAAGGGUCUAGUGAACUGCAUGCAUUGGCCUUGAAGUCAUUGGUUGAUAUAUCCUUUCGUCAGCCAAAGUUGGUAUCGUCACGGUAUGCCAACCGUUUACAUUGGCUGAGAACUUUACUAAGUCAUGUUGAUUCUGAUGCUCGUGAAUCUGCGGCCCGUCUGCUUGGCAUUGCUUCUUCAGCACUUUCAAGCUCGGCUGCGUUGAAUCUUCUGUCUGAACUCACUUCAGCACUUGACCCAAAUCAUCCGUCAAGAUUUGAGAUUUACCAUGGAUUGUUAUGCGCAACCGGGUAUGUAACCGCCUGCUGUUUGAAGGAAUCUUAUAUACCUGAAGAACUGGUCCAAAAGGUAGUUGAUAUUCUUGUAAAAGUUGUUGAGUCUGAGGGUUCAACAUUGGCAUCACUUGCAAUGGAAUCUCUUGGCCAUAUUGGGCUCCGUUGUGUAUUGCCUUCCAUUAGUAGGAACUCCUCUGCAGCUGGAGUUUUAACUGUUCUGCAUGAGAGAUUAACAAAGCUGCUUUCCGAAAAUGAUACCAAAGCUAUACAAAAGAUCUUGGUAUCACUUGGACAUAUUUCAUGGAAUGAGUUGUCCUUUUCACAUCUGAAAAUUGCGUUAGACUUGAUUUUCAGUCUCGCGCGUUCUAAGGUUGAAGAUGUGCUUUUUGCAUCUGGCGAGGCUCUCUCUUUCAUAUGGGGUGAAGUUCCUGUGACUGCAGAUGUGAUACUAGAAACAAACUUUGUUUCCCUUUCCCAAGCCACAAACUUUCUUACUGGUGAUGCACCCCUGCUUGACUCAAGGAACUUCGGUAAAAGAAGCAGCUGUGAAGAAGCACGUACAACGGCUCAAGAUGAAAUUAUAAACAAGUUGUUUGAUACACUAAUUUAUAGCAGCAGAAAAGAGGAACGCUGUGCGGGUACAGUCUGUUUGGUCUCGCUCACGAUGUACUGUGGUCGGCAUCCGAAGAUCCUUGAACUCCUUCCACAGAUUCAGGAAGCCUUUUCUCACCUUAUUGGCGAUUCUAAUGAGCUUACACAAGAUUUGGCAUCCCAAGGUAUGAGUAUUGUGUAUGAACUUGGUGAUGCUUCUAUGAAAGGGCAGUUGGUUCAUGCACUGGUGAAUACGCUGACUGGCGCAGCAAAAAAGAAAAAGGCCAUUAAGCUGAUGGAGGAUUCAGAGGUUUUUCAAGAAGGAACCAUUGGCAGUAAUCCUGCUGGAGGAAAGCUUAGCACAUACAAGGAGCUCUGUAGUCUUGCCAAUGAGAUGGGACAACCUGACUUGAUAUACAAGUUCAUGGAUCUGGCUAACUAUCAGGCUGCUCUCAAUUCCAAGAGGGGUGCUGCUUUUGGAUUUUCCAAGAUAGCCAAACAAGCUGGGGAGGCACUUCAACCCCAUCUGCACACCUUAAUUCCUAGGCUUGUCCGAUACCAAUAUGAUCCUGAUAAGAACAUCCAGGAUUCAAUGGGGCAUAUCUGGAAGUUAAUUGUUUCAGAUCCCAAAAAGGCAAUAGAUGAACAUUAUGAUGUCAUAGUAGAGGAUCUGUUGGUUCAAUCUGGAUCACGGCUUUGGCGCUCACGUGAAGCUUCUUGUCUUGCACUUGCAGACAUCAUCCAAGGUCGAAGAUAUAGUCAGGUUUCUAAGCAUUUGAUAAAAAUAUGGACAACCACCUUCCGUGCGAUGGAUGACAUAAAGGAAACCGUGCGAAAUGCUGGUGACAGUUUGUGCCGAGCUGUAAGCUCAUUGACAGUUAGGCUAUGUGAUGUGUCACUUACUACCGCUUCUGAUGCAAAAGAAACAAUGAACAUUGUACUUCCAUUCUUGCUUUCUGAAGGCAUACUCAGUAAAGUUGCAAGCGUUCAAAAAGCAUCUAUAAAUUUGGUCAUGAAGCUUGCCAAGGGGGCUGGCAUUGCCUUGCGGCCACAUCUGUCAGAACUUGUUAGUUGUAUGCUUGAAUGUUUGUCAAGUCUGGAGGAUCAAAGGUUAAACUAUGUUGAGAUGCAUGCAGGAAAUGCUGGCAUCCAAACCGAGAAGCUUGACAGCUUGCGUGUAGCUGUAGCAAAAGAUUCUCCAAUGUGGGAAACCCUUGAUAUAUGUAUCGAAGUUGUUGACACAAAUUCACUCGAGCUAUUGAUUCCUCGCCUGGCUCAAAUGGUUAGAUCUGCUGUUGGUCUUAAUACAAGGGUUGGUGUUGCUAGCUUCAUCACCUUGCUGGUACAGAAGGUCAUGAUUAACAUCAAGCCAUACACGGCGAUGUUACUGAAAUUACUUUAUACUGCUGUUCUGGAGGAAAGGAGUACUGCAGCCAAAAGGGCCUUUGCGUCUUCUUGUGCUGCAGUUUUGAAAUAUGCCAGCCAAUCUCAGGCUCAGAAACUUAUUGAAGACACCGCUUCUCUGCAUUUAGGUGAAAAAAGUUCUCAGUUAUCUGGCGCAGUUCUUAUUAAAUCGUACUUGAGCAAUGCAGCAGAUGUUAUUAGUGGAUACAAUGCAGUGGUUAUCCCUGUAAUUUUUUCUUCAAGAUUUGAUGAUGAUAAAGAGACCAGUGCCUUGUAUGGAGAACUUUGGGAGGAUAUUCCUAGCAGUGAAAGAGUAACCCUUCAGCUUUAUUUACCAGAAAUUGUAUCCCUUUUGUGCGAUUGCAUGUCCUCAUCAUCAUGGGCUGGCAAGAGAAAGUCAGCCAAGGCUACAAAAAGUCUAUGUGAUGCCCUUGGAGAACCUGUUUCUGCGCACCACCAUAAUAUUCUCAAAUCACUUCUGAAAGAGCUACCAGGUCGAUUUUGGGAGGGAAAAGAUGCUGUUCUGGAUGCACUAGCUUCACUGUGUUUGUGCUGCCACGCCGCUAUAACUGCAGACGAACCAACUAUGCCUAGUGUUAUUCUGAAUGCUGUUUGUGCUGCAUGCAGUAGGAAGCCGAAAUUGUACCGUGAAGCAGCUUUCUCGUGUUUACAGCAAGUGAUCACUGCAUUCAAAGAUCCAGGAUUCUUCAAUAGUGUUUUCCCUAUGUUGUAUGAGGUUUCUAAUCAGUCUGUCAUUUUUAAGACAACAAGGAGUUCAUCUUCACUAAGUACAUCUGCUGCUGCUGAGCAAGAUGAAAGUGCAAGUGUCUCCGUUUCUCUUGACAAGGUGCUCAACUGUGCUGCAUCUAGCAUCACUAUUGCUUUGCCACAAGAUAUUAUCCACCAAAAGAAGAAUAUGUUAGAGGUUCUGUUGAACUCUCUUUCACCCGAGGAGGGUUGGCAAGUUAAAUUGUCAUCCUUCUUGUGUAUCAAAGAAUUGUGCUACAAAUUUUCGGAUUCUGGUGGUAGCACGGCGUGGCCUGAAGGCACAGAUGAUUUUGUUCAGGAGAUGUUCCAUUCAGUGGCGUCAAAAGUAGUAGACUCCAUACGCUUAGUUAAGAUUGCUCAGGUUCAUGUUGCUGCUUCAGAGUGCCUUCUUGAGUUGAUCAAAUUGUAUAGAGACUUCCCGUUGGAAGAGAGAAGAGAGGCCAAGUUCGAGGGUGAACUAAUCCAACUCUGCGAGUCAGAAAAAAGUGAACAGGCAAAGGCACUUCUGAAGCAAUGCUUGGCUGCUCUCAAAGAGCUCACUGGCGUAACCAUGACGAUGGGUUAG